rnacentral:rRNA from 1 species
GUCUACAGCCUUACCAUGCUGAACGCACCCAAUCUCGUCUGAUCUCAGAAGCUAAGCAGGGUCGGGCCUGGUUAGUACUUAGUACUUGGAUGGGAGAUGAGCUGUUAAGU